rnacentral:snRNA from 14 species
GUUCUCACUAUAAUGGCAGUACCUAUACUAAAGUUGGAAUGGAGCAGAAAGAUAGCACGGCCCUUUUGCAAGUAAGACACAUACAUUCAUGGAUUCGUCUAUAUUUAA